rnacentral:rRNA from 1 species
AGUAUGUGGUUUAAUUCGAUGCAACGCGAAGAACCUUACCUGGUCUUGACAUCCCGGAGACCCUUAGGAAACUAGGGGGUGCUUCCAUCUGGAAGAAUCUGGAGACAGGUGCUGCAUGGCUGUCGUCAGCUCGUGUCGUGAGAUGUUGGGUUAAGUCCCGCAACGAGCGCAACCCUUGCCUUUAGUUGCCAGCAGUUCGGCUGGGCACUCUAAAGGGACUGCCGGUGUUAAACCGGAGGAAGGUGGGGAUGACGUCAAGUCCUCAUGGCCUUUAUGACCAGGGCUACACACGUACUACAAUGGCCGAUACAAAGGGCAGCGACACUGCGAGGUGAAGCCAAUCCCGUAAAAUCGGUCUCAGUCCGGAUUGGAGUCUGCAACUCGACUUCAUGAAGCUGGAAUCGCUAGUAAUCGUGGAUCAGCCAAGCCGCGGUGAAUACGUUCCCGGGCCUU